rnacentral:rRNA from 1 species
UACGUAGGGGGCAAGCGUUGUCCGGAAUUAUUGAGCGUAAAGCGCGCGCAGGCGGCUAUUUAAGUCUGGUGUUUAAACCUUGGGCUCAACCUAAGGUCGCACUGGAAACUGGGUGGCUUGAGUACAGAAGAGGAAAGUGGAAUUCCACGUGUAGCAGUGAAAUGCGUAGAUAUCAAGAGGAACACCAGUGGCGAAGGCGAGUCUCUGGACAACUCCUGACACUGAGGCACGAAAGCUAGGGGAGCAAACAGG